UGGACCCACCUGAUUCCAUCCCGAACUCAGAAGUGAAACGAAACAGCGUCGAUGGUAGUGUGGGGUUUCCCCAUGUGAGAGUAGAACAUCGCCAGGC
rnacentral:rRNA from 4 species